UUUGAUCAUGGCUCAGGACGAACGCUGGCGGCGUGCCUAAUACAUGCAAGUAGAACGCUGAAGAGAGGAGCUUGCUCUUUCUUGGAUGAGUUGCGAACGGGUGAGUAACGCGUAGGUAACCUGCCUUGUAGCGGGGGAUAACUAUUGGAAACGAUAGCUAAUACCGCAUAACAAUAGGUGACACAUGUCAUUUAUUUGAAAGGGGCAAUUGCUCCACUACAAGAUGGACCUGCGUUGUAUUAGCUAGUAGGUGAGGUAACGGCUCACCUAGGCGACGAUACAUAGCCGACCUGAGAGGGUGAUCGGCCACACUGGGACUGAGACACGGCCCAGACUCCUACGGGAGGCAGCAGUGGGGAAUCUUCGGCAAUGGGGGCAACCCUGACCGAGCAACGCCGCGUGAGUGAAGAAGGUUUUCGGAUCGUAAAGCUCUGUUGUAAGUCAAGAACGAGUGUGAGAGUGGAAAGUUCACACUGUGACGGUAGCUUACCAGAAAGGGACGGCUAACUACGUGCCAGCAGCCGCGGUAAUACGUAGGUCCCGAGCGUUGUCCGGAUUUAUUGGGCGUAAAGCGAGCGCAGGCGGUUUGAUAAGUCUGAAGUUAAAGGCUGUGGCUCAACCAUAGUUCGCUUUGGAAACUGUCAAACUUGAGUGCAGAAGGGGAGAGUGGAAUUCCAUGUGUAGCGGUGAAAUGCGUAGAUAUAUGGAGGAACACCGGUGGCGAAAGCGGCUCUCUGGUCUGUAACUGACGCUGAGGCUCGAAAGCGUGGGAGCGAACAGGAUUAGAUACCCUGGUAGUCCACGCCGUAAACGAUGAGUGCUAGGUGUUGGAUCCUUUCCGGGAUUCAGUGCCGCAGCUAACGCAUUAAGCACUCCGCCUGGGGAGUACGACCGCAAGGUUGAAACUCAAAGGAAUUGACGGGGGCCCGCACAAGCGGUGGAGCAUGUGGUUUAAUUCGAAGCAACGCGAAGAACCUUACCAGGUCUUGACAUCCCGAUGCUAUUUCUAGAGAUAGAAAGUUACUUCGGUACAUCGGUGACAGGUGGUGCAUGGUUGUCGUCAGCUCGUGUCGUGAGAUGUUGGGUUAAGUCCCGCAACGAGCGCAACCCCUAUUGUUAGUUGCCAUCAUUCAGUUGGGCACUCUAGCGAGACUGCCGGUAAUAAACCGGAGGAAGGUGGGGAUGACGUCAAAUCAUCAUGCCCCUUAUGACCUGGGCUACACACGUGCUACAAUGGUUGGUACAACGAGUUGCGAGUCGGUGACGGCAAGCUAAUCUCUUAAAGCCAAUCUCAGUUCGGAUUGUAGGCUGCAACUCGCCUACAUGAAGUCGGAAUCGCUAGUAAUCGCGGAUCAGCACGCCGCGGUGAAUACGUUCCCGGGCCUUGCACACACCGCCCGUC
rnacentral:rRNA from 1 species